AUUGGGACCAAUGGUAGAAUGUCACUUUGCGUUGUGUCAAUUGGGCGUAACACUUAGCUAGCAAAGCACAAUAAUUCCAAUAACAAUUCCAUGAGUGAAGCUUUCUACUCAGUUAUCUCCGCCAUCAGCCGUCCGCCUCUCUUAGUUCCUCCGUUCGUAAAAUGCAGAUCAGGGGUUGCCGGUGUGGAGCUGGAUUGAGAUAAUCGAUGAAUCGGAAAUUUACACCUUGAACCAAAUUGCUUGGCUUAUUAGGUUUGAGUAUAUAUUCUCUCUCCUUUUGCUUUUUGUUUGUCAAUCUGGCAAAGUAGCCUGAAUAAGUUUACAUUUAUCAAGUUUUUGAACAAACUGACAAAAUUUUAUAUUGGAAAGAGGGCAGAUAGUUGUCUUGUGGGGAUAUAGUUUUUUUUCCAACGAAUUGAUAAUUGUCUUGUGGAAAUAUAGUUUGUACCAAGCCUUUAAAUUGCCUAGCUGAUGCUAAUAGCAGAAUCAUGGAAAUGGAAAUUUUUUUCCCUUGACCAGAGUUAGAAUACUGAACAAUCAGGAUAACAUAUAUGCAACUAAAUAGUUUUUCUUUCUUUUUCUUUUUAUUUUAUUUAAUUUUUUUUUGCCUGAUCCUAUAAGAAGAAGAUUGCAUGGGGGAAUAACUUGAAUACUUAGAAUUCCGAAGUAUGGCCAUGGAAUGACAACCAUUUCUAUUUACAAGCCCAACCUUUGGAACAUAAUACAGGUGGUGAAGAGCCGACAUUGAGGCGCCAACCUUCCCAUCAAUGUGAGAUUUGGGAAAGAUUAUCUUGUUAUCUUUAGACUAACUUUUAUCCGUUGAGCGACGCCCUUUUUCCUUGGCACGGUCGGAUCACUGAGGCUGUCUUUCAUCCCUGCUUGACAAUGGAUCUUGAAGUCAAGCUUCCUUUUACCUUUGCACUCGAGGGCCAUUGGUCCGUUAUCCUGAUCAUGAUUUUCUUACUCCUAAAGGAAAAGAUACUUUCCUUUUGGGCCGGUUGUGCGUGAAGAGGGAUUCAAACCCUCGACACCGUACAUGCUCUUUAACAAUAAUAGUCAAAUCGGAGGAAAGCAACAACACUGUGUUUACCUCAUUUUCGCCCCUACAGAGAAUCCAAACAUUGACGCAAGUCCUCAGCAAAAUCGAGGAACGACUGUCUAGCUGAUGGGUGAGUAACGCGUAAGACCUUGCCAUUGGGAGGGAAAUAACAGCUCGAAACAACUGCUAGUACCUUGAAAAUAACUCUCCUUUUUACCCUACAGCUAGCUACACAAUUCCUUAUAUUAAAGGUGCAUUUGACUUGUAAUUUCAUUUGCAGAAGAUUCUAUACAAUCAAAUCUUUUAACACCACAUGGUUCAUGUUAUUCGAUUUUUUGAAUCAUUAGUUUUUAAAGACUUGAGAAAGUGGAGAUUCCGAAUCUUCUAAUACCACUCGGUUCUUGUUACUCUUAUUGUUUAAUUAUCACAUCCUUGCACCUUGUACCCUGCACUGCGUACUAGUGCUUUCAUUUCCUUCGGUUAUGAACAAUGAGUUCAUUUUCAAAACUUCCUUUAAUAUGAUUGGGUUCUCAUAAGAAUUUUACAUUUAUAAGGUUUUUGAACAAAUUAUGAUAAAAAAAAGAGAGGAAAAUUGUUUGUGGAAACAUAGUUUUUUACAAAACCUUCAAAUUGCCUAGGUGGUGGCAAUCACAAAACGUGGAAAUUGAUUUUUUUCCUAUGUUGCCCAUUGUUAGAAUACUGAACAAUCAUGAUCAUAUAUAUACGAGUAAAUAGUUUUUUUUUUGCCUAGAACUUUUUUAUCAAGAAGAUUGCAUGGAGGAAAAACUUGAAUACUUAGCCCUUGCUUGAUCCCUAUUUUGGGGGAAAUAAUGCAUUUUGAAUAGCAGAUUGAUGGAGAAUGUGUGGUUAAAAAUUUUAAAAAAUUUUUGCAUUUUCAUGUAAUAUUAUUUUAUUGAAGAAUGUGUGAUUGAAAAUGAAUUUUGAAAAAAUGAUUUUUUUGAAUAAUAGGAAUAAAGCAAGGGCUUAGAUCUCUUGAGUAUGGUCAUUGCAAGACAAAUGUGGAGAAUAUUGAAAAUUUGAAAAAACUACUCACCUCUUGGCUUUGCCUAACAAUUAGCUCCAAAAUUCUUUUGUAUUAAUGAAAUUCUGAUUUCAUUUGAAAAAGAUUUUAUUGAGAUUCUAUACAAUAAAAUCUUUUAAUAUCACUCAAUUCACAUUACUAAAUCAUUUUAAAAGAAUCAAGGAUGUGGAGAUAAAGAUAACAUUGAAUGUUUGGUACAUAAUGAUCAUGAAAAAUUGGACAUUAUAAUUAGCAAUUUGUAUGACAUGAUUUUCCUCUUUAAUUGUAAUGUCCCAAAUUAAAAAUUUUAAAUUGCUACAAAAAGUUUCAUAAAAAUUUAACAUGACAAAUAAUUUCUUAUAGAUUUAUGUAAAGAUGGUUUACUCAAGGUUAAUCUAUAAUAUUCUUUUUAUACCAAAUAUUAAUUUUUUAUUUAUAUUAAAUUAGAUACCUUACCUUGUCUAUAAAUGUUUGAAAAGAUCAUAUGAAAAUCAAUCUAAAAGUUAAUGAUUAGGGACGUAAUUACACGGCGCUUUAAAAAUCAUAAAUUUAAUACUGACAAGCAAAAAUAUUAAUGAAUAUGGGUUGCUAACUUUGUCGUCAUCUAAUUAAAUAUAACAAUCCAGUUCAAGGCAUCCUUAAAUAUAUCAAACAGUGCUGCAUGAAAUUAAAGUGCAAAAUUAGUCAUUUGACCCAAGAAACAUAAUCAAUAUUUUAUUUCACAAAUUGGAGCAUUUCCUUCUGAUGGAUUAUAGCUAUUUUUAAACUAUCACGUGAAAUAUCCACACAACAAUUUAUUGAUUUUCUAUCAUAUUAUAUACACACACAUAUUUUCCAAGCAAUUUCGCAAAGUUACUCCCUAUAUUAUUACUAGGGACAUCGUCAAACAAACAAAUGGUUAUGUCUGAAAAUAAUUCAUGUGUAAUAUAUAUGUCUCACUAAAUGCGAAUGUAGUGAACAAUUUUCUUAAAUAUAUUCCACUAAAAGCUAAUUCAUUUAAUUUACACGUUUUAUUUUACAUGAUAGAUAAUAAAUAUAUCAUAAAAUAUUGAUUUCACAUAUUUACCGUGACAAACAAUGUAGUUCCAUGUUUCGAAUUCAAAUAAAGGGAAAGAGAUAAAUAAAUUAAUAAAACUAAAGUUAUUGUUGGAAUUUAAAAUUUCAGCCACAUUACAUCGAAAUUACUUUAUUAAGUCCAAUGAACCCUGGCACAACGAUAGCACUUCAUUGCUUGCCAACCAACAAUCCAUUCUAAUCUGUGAAAAGUAGGGGAAAAAGGGGUGAAUAUAAGGAACUACUCAGUGUGACACGAGUAUAUGUGCAAUUCCAAAUAAAAGUACCAAUUCAUGAAUUUAAAUAAUUAUUUUGUCAUAUCAUAACUUUAGAAUUUGAGAAGAGCUCCUAACAUAUCAUAUCAUUUGUACUGAAUGCCCAUUAUCAUGUAUCAUAACAUAUCCAAUCAUAUCAAUUCGUUAGCAUAAUAUUUAUCAACAUGAAAUAAUAAAAUUAAAUGGGACAAUCUACUUGCACCCUAUUCAUCCUACCUUAAACCUUUGAAAAUUUUGAUUUGAUGCUCACAAAAUUGUAAAUUUUUGUGCCUCUUGAAAUAUUCCAAAACUUUUAAAAUAAUUUUCUUUCCUUCUAAAAAAUAUGGAGAAUUAUGAAGCAUAAAAGAAAGAAGGGAAAA